UUGAUCCUGCUCAGACGAACGCUGCGGCGUGCUAACACAUGCAAGUCAAGGAGAACGGGAAUCUUCGGAAUCCCAAGUACACUGGCGAACGGGUGAGUAACACGUAGGUAACCUGCCCUCGAGUUGGGGAUAAUCCUGCUAACGCGGGACUAAUACCGAAUGAUGUCCCGAUGAUGCAUGUCAUUGGGAUUAAAGAUGGCCUCUACUUGUAAGCUAUCGCUUGAGGAUGGACCUGCGGCCCAUUAGCUAGUUGGUGAGGUAACGGCUCACCAAGGCGACGAUGGGUAGCCGGCCUGAGAGGGUGAUCGGCCACACUGGGAUUGAGAUACGGCCCAGACUCCUACGGGAGGCAGCAGUGAGGAAUAUUGCGCAAUGGGCGAAAGCCUGACGCAGCAACGCCGCGUGAGGGAUGAAGCUUCUAGGAGUGUAAACCUCUGUUAGGAGAGACGAAUUAGUAAGAAGUAAAUAAUUUCUUGCCUUGACGGUAUCUCCAAAGAAAGCCCCGGCUAACUCCGUGCCAGCAGCCGCGGUAAUACGGGGGGGGCAAGCGUUGUCCGGAAUUAUUGGGCGUAAAGGGCCGUAGGCGGGAUGGUCAGUCGGAGGUGAAAAUCCCAGGCUUAACUUGGGACCUGCCUUCGAUACUGCCAUUCUUGAGUUCGGAAGAGGGAAGUGGAAUUCCUGGUGUAGCGGUGAAAUGCGUAGAUAUCAGGAAGAACACCGGUAGCGAAGGCGGCUUCCUGGUCCGAUACUGACGCUAAGGCGCGAAAGCGUGGGGAGCAAACAGGAUUAGAUACCCUGGUAGUCCACGCCGUAAACGAUGGGUACUAGGUGUUGGCCUCGCACUUGGAUUAUUCAUAGCAAAAUAUAUUUUGGAUAAUUCAAGUGCGGGGUCAGUGCCGAAGCUAACGCAUUAAGUACCCCGCCUGGGGAGUACGAUCGCAAGAUUGAAACUCAAAGGAAUUGACGGGGGCCCGCACAAGCGGUGGAGCAUGUGGUUCAAUUCGAUGCAACGCGAAGANCUUACCUGGGCUUGAAAAGCUAG
rnacentral:rRNA from 1 species